CGCGGUCGCAACGGCACCGUCGCGUCCAUUCCGCCAUUUACUGUGUUUACUGCGUUUAGUGGAUGACUUUCCUGCGACGGGAAUUUUCCGGUGAAAAUGCGUUUUCGCUCGGAUUUGUGAUUUUCGUACGGGCGUCGGGCGUUUUAUUUCUAGAACCCCGCUCAACGCGAUUUUCGUCAUUUUCGGAUUUAAUCUGCGAGUUGGCGUGUGGAAAUUCCAGGAACGCGGGAAAACGAGCGGCGGCGCGCACCGACCGAAGACCGAGGGCAGAAGACUUCUCGAAAUAAAGAUCCGAGAAGAAUACUGAAUAGACGUGAUUUGUUCUUCAGAAGAGAGCGA